AGCUACUCAGGCUUGGAUUCACACGUUUUUCCUGAAACUUGACCACAAACCCAGACAGGAGGGACGUGCCUUGAGAUUUAUACAUCAUCUGAAUGCUGAAUAAAAAAGCUUUCCGUUUGUUAGAACGAUAUUUGGGUCGAAGCAGCAGAAAACGGUCAAAUUUCAAGAGGAGAUUUUCCCCGCAGAUGGAAAACGACAGCGUCUUUCCACUCCUGCGCUGGAACGCCUCAGAGUUUCUCCACGUCUCAUCUGGACGGGAUAUAGACGCAGCUGGCAGCUGACUGAAAGUGGCCAUAAUGUUCCCGUUUGUGAGACGCUCACGGGACAGCGUGAUCCUUCAGCCGCUUCGUCAAAACAGUUGAAUUGAAGAACAAUAAAUUUUAGCGAUCUUCUGGACUCUAUAAAUGGCCCGGGCCCCUGCUUUAGGGUAAGUAUUUACAUUUUAUCUUACACCAGAUGCAGUCGGAUCACCUCUAAUAUAAUAACACCUCUCAACAGUGCUAAUUACAGACCGAAUGUCCUCAUGAAUGGACUCAAGUAUGCACGCUCUGUCUAAACGAUAUAAUAAGUGUGAAGGGUGUGCAGUCAAUCCGGGUGGCUUUUGUAUUCAAUAGCACAGUACAUUCUUGUUUACUUAGUCACUGUUUUGCACUGAUCUGGCUCUUCUGACCCGCUCUCAGCCUCUCAAUACCCUCAGUAUGGUGGAAUAACACAGACCUCGGUAAUUACGGCACAAAUCGCGCCAAUCAAUUACAUGCGAAAGGGCGGUAAAGCAAACACAGGAGCGAUCCGUGCGGAACUCCACACGGGAUAUAUGAGCAAAUCAAUUAUUAAAAAUGCACGUAUAGGUAGAUCGUGAUUGAAGCGUCCCGUUUUUAUCACGAGCGUACGAUCCGUGGCGAGCACAGCGCGUUCGGGGAGUCACACGAGGACAGACUUUUCCUUCUCAAAUGCAUUUUCGGAGUCUUUCGGCAAUCGAGGAGCUGUGACAUAAGCGUACGGCGUAGCUCUGUGUAAAUAGUAUUAUGUAAGCGUUCCGUACGCGAUGAUGGAUGGCCUGACGGAGUCUCGCUGAGGUCUUUAGACGUAAGAAUAUCCAGCCGUAGGCCAGUGGCCUGUCUCUCUAAAUCACAAUGCUGUAGGGUUCGAGCUCCUUCUGGAGAGCACGAGAACAAAUGAGACGGAGUUCAUACUGGCCCACAAUCCUCCAGGCAUUUGUGUUUGGAUGAAAGAUGGCUGACAGCUGCCGGUGAACGUGUCUUAUCCAGGCCAGAGAUGUUAAGCGUGUUUGUCGUCAUUUGGCUUUUAACAGAAACUGCACCGAAGCCAAAGGUCCUGUUUCUUCAGAGCUUCCCUCUAAAAGCCCGAAAGCAGCAGAUCUCUCGGAGCUCUUUGUUGUUGUCGCUCUGUAAUGAAACGCUCGCUCGGAAACUGCUGCCAUACUUUGUAACUAGAGCUUCGACUUUCUGACGCUGGAUGCACGUGAAAGCGUAAACGUGCGGGUGGUUGCCAGGGUGUUGCUAGGUUGUUUUGGAUAGCUACUAUGAAAGAAGCUGUUAGGUUAAGCUGUUUAGACAAAAACGUUCUUCUAUAGCACCUUUAGUUUUAAGAGUGUAGCAAAUCUCCGUUGCCUGAUUGCUUUUUUGGCACAAAAUGCAACUACAUUAUCGUCCCGCUGUACGGCAUGGGAAUAUAUAAACAUUAACACCGUUACUUUCUCUUAAGCUGCAGUUUUCAAGGAGAAAUCUGGCGUUCAAUUAACUUCUUUCCCAUUAAAAUCCCGAAAGUCACUUUCUUUCAGGUCAAUGCCUCUUCCUGUUAAUUUAACCACAGAGAGGCCUUGUGAAACGUCUCAAUAUCUGCCUCAGGAAUGUAGAUGGCAGGGUACUGCCUCACACACCACACACACACUGAUGCACACGCAGAGCUCGCUUAAUCACCAACAGUUCUGUUAUCAUUUAAAAACAAUAAUACAUGUAAUAUGUGAUUGCGCGUGUAUAACAUAAAUAUAU